AGCGAACGCUGGCGGCAGGCCUAACACAUGCAAGUCGAACGAACCUUUCGGGGUUAGUGGCGGACGGGUGAGUAACACGUGGGAACGUGCCUUUAGGCUCGGAAUAACUCAGGGAAACUUGUGCUAAUACCGAAUGUGUCCUUCGGGGGAAAGAUUUAUCGUCUUUAGAGCGGCCCGCGUCUGAUUAGCUAGUUGGUUGAGGUAAUGGCUCACCAAGGCGACGAUCAGUAGCUGGUCUGAGAGGAUGAUCAGCCACAUUGGGACUGAGACACGGCCCAAACUCCUACGGGAGGCAGCAGUGGGGAAUCUUGCGCAAUGGGCGAAAGCCUGACGCAGCCAUGCCGCGUGAAUGAUGAAGGUCUUAGGAUUGUAAAAUUCUUUCACCGGGGACGAUAAUGACGGUACCCAGAGAAGAAGCCCCGGCUAACUUCGUG
rnacentral:rRNA from 1 species